AACGAACGCUGGCGGCAUGCCUAACACAUGCAAGUCGAACGAAGCCUUCGGGCUUAGUGGCGCACGGGUGCGUAACGCGUGGGAAUCUGCCCUUGGGUUCGGAAUAACAGUUAGAAAUGACUGCUAAUACCGAAUGAUGUCUUCGGACCAAAGAUUUAUCGCCCAAGGAUGAGCCCGCGUCGGAUUAGCUAGUUGGUGAGGUAAAGGCUCACCAAGGCGACGAUCCGUAGCUGGUCUGAGAGGAUGAUCAGCCACACUGGGACUGAGACACGGCCCAGACUCCUACGGGAGGCAGCAGUGGGGAAUAUUGGACAAUGGGCGAAAGCCUGAUCCAGCAAUGCCGCGUGAAUGAUGAAGGCCUUAGGGUUGUAAAAUUCUUUUGCAGGGGAAGAUAAUGACGGUACCCUGCGAAUAAGCUCCGGCUAACUUCGUGCCAGCAGCCGCGGUAAU
rnacentral:rRNA from 1 species